rnacentral:rRNA from 1 species
GGGCCCGCACAAGCGGUGGAGCAUGUGGCUUAAUUCGAGGCAACGCGAAGAACCUUACCUGGUCUUGACAUGCCCGUCAUAGUUUUCCGAAAGGAAUUCGUCAGUUCGGCUGGACGGUGCACAGGUGCUGCAUGGCUGUCGUCAGCUCGUGUCGUGAGAUGUUCGUUAAGUCCGGCAACGAGCGCAACCCUCGUUUCCAGUUGCCAGCGGGUAAUGCCGGGGACUCUGGAAAGACAAACCUCUUGUUGAGGUGGGAAGGUGGGGACGACGUCAAGUCAGUAUGGCCCUUACGACCAGGGCUGCACACGUGCUACAAUGGUAGGUACAGAGAGCAGCCAAUGCGCGAGCAU